rnacentral:rRNA from 1 species
GACCUUCGGGCCUCUUGCCAUCAGAUGUGCCCAGAUGGGAUUAGCUAGUAGGUGGGGUAACGGCUCACCUAGGCGACGAUCCCUAGCUGGUCUGAGAGGAUGACCAGCCACACUGGAACUGAGACACGGUCCAGACUCCUACGGGAGGCAGCAGUGGGGAAUAUUGCACAAUGGGCGCAAGCCUGAUGCAGCCAUGCCGCGUGUAUGAAGAAGGCCUUCGGGUUGUAAAG